GCCGAGGUGGCGGAAUUGGCAGACGCACUAGAUUCAGGUUCUAGCGAGGUCACACUCUUGCAGGUUCAAGUCCUGUCCUCGGCACCA
rnacentral:tRNA from 1 species